AAAAAUUUCUUUCAUCUUGAAUUCUUGCUAAGUGCAAGACUCUCUACAACUUGGUAUAAUUAUUUUGGCAAGAAAGACACUUUGGUGGCAAGUGAAGAAUUUGAAGAAAAGAUUUUGUGGAGCCAAGAGCUUGAUUUCGGAUUUGCGUAGAGAGCGGGCAAGGUACAGACACAGGUGAUCCACCACUGUAGGCUCCACUUCCUGCUAUUUUCGGAGUACUCCCUUUUGAUCCGGAGUCUACUUUUGG